UCGCCUGUUUAUCAAAAACAUCACUUAAUAUAUAAGCUUUACCUGCUCAAUGAUAAUAAUUAAAUAGCCAAAUUAUGCUAAGGUAGCAUAAUAAUUUGCUUUAUAAUUAAAAGAUAGAAUGAAUGGUAUUUCUAAAAGUAACUAUUUUAUCUUAAAAUUAAAUUUUUCUAAAGUUGAAAAUUACUUUAUUAAUUUUUUAGACGAUAAGACCCUAUGAAGCUUUAUUAGUACAAAAAAUUAUAAACAAAAAAAUUAAUUUUUUUGGGGCAAAAAAAAAUUUUUUUAUUUUUUUACAGAAUAAUAAUGAUCUUUUAGAAUUUUAAGAGAAAGCUACUCUAGGGAUAACAGCAUAAUUUUUAUAAAAGUUCUUAUUAAAAUAAAAGUUUGUGACCUCGAUGUUGA
rnacentral:rRNA from 1 species